GCCUGGGUGGCUCAGCCGGUUAAGCGUCUGACUUCAGCUCAGGUCACGAUCUCGCGGUCCGCGAGUUCGAGCCCCGCGUCAGGCU
rnacentral:tRNA from 1 species